AAGAAAAGCAUAUAAAAAGAAGAGAAACUUACCAUUGCAUUUGAAAGCAAAUUGAGGGCAAGCCACAUGUCUCAUGCUUAUGAUUUUUACAAGUCUAAUCUUGCUAGUGAAUAUCCAGUUGUUGAUGGAAAACUUUCUCAAACUUGCUACCUUAUGGCUCUUGAUUCAUGCUAUAAACAACUCAGUCACAAAUAUGAGAAGCUCAUUUUGGCUUUCUGAAAUUUGGAAUCUCCUACAUCCUU